rnacentral:rRNA from 1 species
UUAAGCGACUAAGCGUACACGGUGGAUGCCCUGGCAGUCAGAGGCGAUGAAGGACGUGCUAAUCUGCGAUAAGCGUCGGUAAGAUGAUAUGAACCGUUAUAACCGGCGAUUUCCGAAUGGGGAAACCCAGUGUGUUUCGACACACUAUCAUUAACUGAAUCCAUAGGCUAAUGAGGCGAACCGGGGGAACUGAAACAUCUAAGUACCCCGAGGAAAAGAAAUCAACCGAGAUUCCCCCAGUAGCGGCGAGCGAACGGGGAGCAGCCCAGAGCCUGAAUCAGUGUGUGUGUUAGUGGAAGCGUCUGGAAAGGCGCGCGAUACAGGGUGACAGCCCCGUACACAAAAAUGCACAUGCUGUGAGCUCGAUGAGUAGGGCGGGACACGUGGUAUCCUGUCUGAAUAUGGGGGGACCAUCCUCCAAGGCUAAAUACUCCUGACUGACCGAUAGUGAACCAGUACCGUGAGGGAAAGGCGAAAAGAACCCCGGCGAGGGGAGUGAAAAAGAACCUGAAACCGUGUACGUACAAGCAGUGGGAGCACGCUUAGGCGUGUGACUGCGUACCUUUUGUAUAAUGGGUCAGCGACUUAUAUUCUGUAGCAAGGUUAACCGAAUAGGGGAGCCGAAGGGAAACCGAGUCUUAACUGGGCGUUAAGUUGCAGGGUAUAGACCCGAAACCCGGUGAUCUAGCCAUGGGCAGGUUGAAGGUUGGGUAACACUAACUGGAGGACCGAACCGACUAAUGUUGAAAAAUUAGCGGAUGACUUGUGGCUGGGGGUGAAAGGCCAAUCAAACCGGGAGAUAGCUGGUUCUCCCCGAAAGCUAUUUAGGUAGCGCCUCGUGAAUUCAUCUCCGGGGGUAGAGCACUGUUUCGGCAAGGGGGUCAUCCCGACUUACCAACCCGAUGCAAACUGCGAAUACCGGAGAAUGUUAUCACGGGAGACACACGGCGGGUGCUAACGUCCGUCGUGAAGAGGGAAACAACCCAGACCGCCAGCUAAGGUCCCAAAGUCAUGGUUAAGUGGGAAACGAUGUGGGAAGGCCCAGACAGCCAGGAUGUUGGCUUAGAAGCAGCCAUCAUUUAAAGAAAGCGUAAUAGCUCACUGGUCGAGUCGGCCUGCGCGGAAGAUGUAACGGGGCUAAACCAUGCACCGAAGCUGCGGCAGCGACACUAUGUGUUGUUGGGUAGGGGAGCGUUCUGUAAGCCUGUGAAGGUGUGCUGUGAGGCAUGCUGGAGGUAUCAGAAGUGCGAAUGCUGACAUAAGUAACGAUAAAGCGGGUGAAAAGCCCGCUCGCCGGAAGACCAAGGGUUCCUGUCCAACGUUAAUCGGGGCAGGGUGAGUCGACCCCUAAGGCGAGGCCGAAAGGCGUAGUCGAUGGGAAACAGGUUAAUAUUCCUGUACUUGGUGUUACUGCGAAGGGGGGACGGAGAAGGCUAUGUUGGCCGGGCGACGGUUGUCCCGGUUUAAGCGUGUAGGCUGGUUUUCCAGGCAAAUCCGGAAAAUCAAGGCUGAGGCGUGAUGACGAGGCACUACGGUGCUGAAGCAACAAAUGCCCUGCUUCCAGGAAAAGCCUCUAAGCAUCAGGUAACAUCAAAUCGUACCCCAAACCGACACAGGUGGUCAGGUAGAGAAUACCAAGGCGCUUGAGAGAACUCGGGUGAAGGAACUAGGCAAAAUGGUGCCGUAACUUCGGGAGAAGGCACGCUGAUAUGUAGGUGAAGUCCCUUGCGGAUGGAGCUGAAAUCAGUCGAAGAUACCAGCUGGCUGCAACUGUUUAUUAAAAACACAGCACUGUGCAAACACGAAAGUGGACGUAUACGGUGUGACGCCUGCCCGGUGCCGGAAGGUUAAUUGAUGGGGUUAGCCGCAAGGCGAAGCUCUUGAUCGAAGCCCCGGUAAACGGCGGCCGUAACUAUAACGGUCCUAAGGUAGCGAAAUUCCUUGUCGGGUAAGUUCCGACCUGCACGAAUGGCGUAAUGAUGGCCAGGCUGUCUCCACCCGAGACUCAGUGAAAUUGAACUCGCUGUGAAGAUGCAGUGUACCCGCGGCAAGACGGAAAGACCCCGUGAACCUUUACUAUAGCUUGACACUGAACAUUGAGCCUUGAUGUGUAGGAUAGGUGGGAGGCUUUGAAGUGUGGACGCCAGUCUGCAUGGAGCCGACCUUGAAAUACCACCCUUUAAUGUUUGAUGUUCUAACGUUGACCCGUAAUCCGGGUUGCGGACAGUGUCUGGUGGGUAGUUUGACUGGGGCGGUCUCCUCCUAAAGAGUAACGGAGGAGCACGAAGGUUGGCUAAUCCUGGUCGGACAUCAGGAGGUUAGUGCAAUGGCAUAAGCCAGCUUGACUGCGAGCGUGACGGCGCGAGCAGGUGCGAAAGCAGGUCAUAGUGAUCCGGUGGUUCUGAAUGGAAGGGCCAUCGCUCAACGGAUAAAAGGUACUCCGGGGAUAACAGGCUGAUACCGCCCAAGAGUUCAUAUCGACGGCGGUGUUUGGCACCUCGAUGUCGGCUCAUCACAUCCUGGGGCUGAAGUAGGUCCCAAGGGUAUGGCUGUUCGCCAUUUAAAGUGGUACGCGAGCUGGGUUUAGAACGUCGUGAGACAGUUCGGUCCCUAUCUGCCGUGGGCGCUGGAGAACUGAGGGGGGCUGCUCCUAGUACGAGAGGACCGGAGUGGACGCAUCACUGGUGUUCGGGUUGUCAUGCCAAUGGCACUGCCCGGUAGCUAAAUGCGGAAGAGAUAAGUGCUGAAAGCAUCUAAGCACGAAACUUGCCCCGAGAUGAGUUCUCCCUGACUCCUUGAGAGUCCUGAAGGAACGUUGAAGACGACGACGUUGAUAGGCCGGGUGUGUAAGCGCAGCGAUGCGUUGAGCUAACCGGUACUAAUGAACCGUGAGGCUUAACCUU